rnacentral:lncRNA from 1 species
UCCUUUUGCUAGAUCGUAACUUUUUUUCUCUGCAAAGUGAUUUCCCCUUGUGUUAAUAAAGCUCCUAUUUAUAUGCUUAGGAAAGAACCAAUCGUGACCCUCCUUUGAAUUGUGUCCCAUAUCUUGCUUUGACUGACACGUCACAUGCAAGAAUAAUUGCAAAAUCGCGCCACUACAGGGUGUCUAUGGGGCUGCGAAAAAUACAGAGAGUACAUGCAUAUUUGAGCUUCAAAACUUGGAAUUUUUUUCUAAGUUUUUCCUUAUUUGAUAUUUGGUCUUCACAUUCUUUGGUAUGUCAAUUUCUUCAAGCAUUCUUCUUCUUGACCAUGUAAAACUAUUAAAAUUUCGCUAAAAUACUAUAAAAUAAUAAAUAAAAAUACUCAAAUGACUGAAUGUCAUCAGUUGGCAAUGGAUCUUUUGCUGGGUGAUCACAAUGUUAACGAAACAAAGUUGAAGAACAAGUCUAUGGAGUCUUGGCGUACAAAGAGAUAUGCAUAGGUCUUCAACAAGGAACACUUCAUUUUGAGCGGAUAGACUAUCUAUUUUGAUGUCCGUGUAGCAACUCUACAAUAUUUAAGUUAUCUAUUUUGAUGUAACGUCUUUUUAGUAUUGAUGCUCAUUUGGCUAAUGUCGACCUUUUUGCUAAUGUUUUGUAAGCACUUAAUUAUCCUAAGAAAUAUAGUUUGUCUAAUGUCGACCUCGUUGUGCUAAUGUUUUGUAAGAACCUAGUUAUUAUAAGAAAUGUAAUGGACUAUCCUACUACAAGAUAUAUAUCUAUAUAUUUAUAUGAAAGGCUACUAUCAUCCUUUUGUAACUUAUAUUUUGUGUUAUCUUCAAUUAAUCAAUGUGGAAUCAUAUUAUUGUCUGCAUUUAAGUAGGACCGGUUUAUUUGUUAAGUUAGAAAGAUUAUAGGGUCUUUAAGGUACUUGUGUUGCACAAGACUUGGUAUGACAUUCAAAGCAGUAAAACAAAAGGAUCAAGAUGUGUUACCUGUUCUAUUCUUUUCAAUUUACCUUCUCUAGCUUGAAGUUCUUUUUCCUUUGCCUUGAGAUCCUAAAGGUAAAAAAAAAAUGUAAUUAAAUUUUUGGCAGCAACAAACACCUUGACAUCAUAACUUUGACAUUUACUUCAACAUUUUGAUAAUUCAGUCUCAACCUUUGGCAUGUCAAGAGCAAUGCCAACAAUUGACCCACGAUCAGUUUCAUAGUUACUAUAUCAAACAAAAACUAAAAGGCCUCUAGGCACAACAAAACAACAACAACAACAUUAUGUAGGAAGCAAAGACACUAACACCAAAACUCAAACUAAAUCUUUUGGUGUCAAACCUUUUUGACUUCUGAUGUCUUCCUCGAUGACCACUGGGAGUGGUCUCUCCAUGCUGAUUCAAGUUGAAAUUAGGAAGUAAAGGCAUAAGAAAUGACAAUGACAACAAGAGUACAUAAGCUACAAGUCCACAUGAACCAAAAUGUACAAAUCUAUCAAAACUACCAACAAUCCACCUGCUCACUAGAUACAAAGAACAAAUCCAAUGCUAAUUCCCAAAAAAACGCUAUGAACAGCUUUAAACAAAUUAACCUAGGGUCCCAAUAAACUCAAUUUGAAAUAGAUAGUUUUUAAUUUCCCCUGAUUUCUUUAAUUAUCAAGGUUUCAAAGGAUAAAAGAUGUUCAUGAUAAAACAAAUCAUUAUAGACAUUAAAAUAAUAAAAAAGCAGAAUAACUCAUACAUGCUGGGUUCCAUUGAAUGUGAAAAAUGUAAAAGAUUAAAAAAAAACUAUAACAUGAUUCAAGCACCUCAAAACAUAUUUUUCAUUUUCCAAUAAAUUACUCAAACUGGUACAAAAUUGACCGAACUAAAAGAAUUGAAAUGUGUUUGGUACACUCAAAUUACUCAAAUCAUGUCUAGAUCUAAAGAAUUCAAAGUCAGUACAGGAUAACCAAGCUAUAAUUGCACAAAUCAGCGACAAAAGGGAGUUGGGUUGUCGGAGAGAACCCAAUCAGCGACAAAAGGGAUGACGAGAUCUUCGUCGUCUGGAUUCGAAGGAGUUGGGUUGUUGGAGAACAUAAUCCAAUCAGUGACAACCCCUAAUUGAUUUUUCUCGUUUCAAGAAGAUGAAGGUGCAAAGAAGAAGAGGAAUGAAGGUGCAAAGAAGGUUUAUCGGAGAUUGUUGGCACUGCGGUGAGUGGUGAUUAUUGGAGAACUCAUGGCCACCGUCGUGUAUGCAAAGAGAACAAGAUGGAAGAACUUUAACAAUUUUUUUUUUAUGCGCAAAACAGUAAACAAUUCUUUAAUAAUUAUUUUUAUUUAAAAUUUAUAAGUGACCUGUCAAUUAUUUUUAUUAUUUUUUGUAAAAACAAAAUUUAUUUGGUGACCGUUGGUAGCAGGUCAAAUGGUGAGGGAUCAUUGCUGGACCUUUUUUUGGGGGUCCUGUUGACACCAAAAUUAUAAUAUUGGUAAUAUUCAUUUCGACUUGGUGUUAUAAUUUGAAUAGAAGAAAAACUCAUUUCGAUUAGGCAUGGAACGUGAUUUGUCGAAGUUAGCCAUAUUAAGUGGAAUUCGACUAAACUAUUUUGCUGGCGAAGGCUUCAUUUUCAACAAGAAGUGACAUAUGUUUUAAGACAUCGGAAGAAGUCAUUCAAAGAGUCGAAUAUUGACAUGGUUCUUCGAUCAAGCAAACAACUCCUACGAAGAAGUUAUCGGAAGUUAUUUAAAGGGACAUGUGUCAAUCUUAGAUAUAGGAAGUUAUUAAAUAUAAGACACUUGUCAAAAUCUAAGAUGUAGGAAGUUAUUUUCUAUUUUCUAUAAAUAGUUGUAAUUUCUAUGUACAAAGGGUUGAAUCNNNNNNNN